ACAGGAACUAAUGAACUAGGUUCACAUGGUAGGACACAUGGACCGCAGAACACACAGCAAGAGGCACACUGUCUAGAGGAAGAACAGAACAAAAAACAAAAUGAGACUCAGGCCAUAUAUGAACAUACAGGACGAUGAGGGAACAGGCAAGAGGUGGGAGUACAGCUGACACUUAUCCCAGGCUAAUGAAAUAAGAGAAACAAAACAGAACACAAAGCACAAGGGACGGCAGACUAUCAAAGUAAAACAGGAAAUGACUAACACUGAUACCUAGACUACGACAUAUGAGCUUGACACAAAGACAGAAAGGUAAACAAAUACAGAAAAGGCAGAACCAGCAGAUACACAAGGGAAGCAGGAAAACACAGCAAUACAUAAACCAGACUGAAAUGCUACCAAAAGAACUGAUGAAACAAGAUCACAAAACACUAAGAAAAACCUUAGGUAAACAAAUACAGAAAAGUCAGAACCAGCAGAUACACAAGGGAAGUAGGAAAACACAGCAAUACAUAAACCAGACUGAAAUGCUACCAAAAGAACUGAUGAAACAAGAUCACAAAACACUAAGAAAAACCUUAGGUAAACCCCUCACAACAUAGAAAUGAAACCAAUGCAGAAUAAUGUAACAAAGAUUUUCAAAAGUGCAAAGCUAAAGAGAACUUAAAAACCUGGUGACCAUGGUACCUUUUACAUUAUUCAGUUAUGAUUGACUACAUUAUUCAAUCGUCUUUUAGUCACAACUGUUAUUGAGUUGUGUGACUAUGUCUGUAAAUCAUCUAAUACACACUAUAAAUAUUAACAUGUCCUACAAAUAUAUUGUUACAGUGUAGCAAUAACAAAAGAAAAGUACACUGUAAGUGCUGUUAAUUUCAACCACUUGCAAAUAGUUUGAGAGUGCUCAAAUUCAGAUUAGUACAAACAGUAGUUUCUGGUGGGUUGAUUAUUUCUAUUUGCAGUUAUGUAAAAAUUUGAUUUUAGGCCACCAUAAGCUUGACAAAAAAUGUGUCAAAUUAAAAGACUACUCUACUUACAAUUACAACAUUUGUUAUAUUAGUUUCCACAGAAUACAAAUGCA
ensembl:lncRNA